GCCUCGGUGGUGUUAGUGGUAAAGCACGCGUCCCCGGUAAGCAUGAAACACGGGUUCGGUUCCCGCCUGAGGCC